ACAUCCCCGUGGGAAGGAUGGAAUGAGGAAGCCGGGCUGUAGAGAAAUCUAAAGCACAGGAGAGCUGCCUGCAGCAGGGAGAGACAGGCUGGCCAGGAAGGAGUUUUGCUGAGCCCAGGAGAACAUGGUCUGAGUAAUUAUCAACGCCUGUCGCUAUGUGGCCAGGAAGAUGUGGACCCUGUGCAGGCGGGAGCACCAGGAGCCACCACCCUGCCCAGCACAGGCAGCAACCCCCAGCCACCCCCACAAUGUAAAGGCAGAUGUAACAGCAGCCCCCCAAGCAAGAGCCUCGCUUCCCAGGAACAACCACCCCAUCCCAGAGCAGCCCUGCAAGUCCUGAGGGUAGAAGCUCUCGUGGUCCUUGCCUGAGGCCCACAAGCUUUCUUCCCACCGCUUUCCCCAGGGAGCCUCUUUGCUGUGAAUCCUGCAGCCCAGAGAUUGGAAAACAUCAGCAAACGCCUUCUGUGUCUGCUCUCAACUCAGGAGCACAAUGAUAGAAAACAUCCUGAUCGGUCUCUCCUUACCAGAAUUUUCUAGCUGGCAGGAAAAAAAAUUAUUGCCAAUGUGUAUCAAAUGCUGCUGGCACUUUUGGGGGAGAGGAUGAGCCACUGCAUCCUAGCAGCAAAUUGGAAUUUUAUACCAUGAAACUAAAUUGUUCUCCCAAUGAUAUUGGCAUACGUUCAGGUGAUUUCCACAACAGUAAGAUCAGCUCCUGAGCUGGAGUAAGGAGCCUUAGAGCCCAGGUCUGUGGAAAUCCUGUGAUGCUUUGUACAAGCUGCUGAAGCUGAGCUCACCCUGCAGCCAGCACCCGGCAUGAUGUACAGAGAGCUGCAGGGACCACGGUGGGCUCCCCCACUUCCCCUCCAGCAAACCUCACACUGUCACAGAACAAUGACCGCAGAAUCGCAAACUCCGCAUGUGCGGGGGGGAAUCUGCCCGAACCCUUCCUGUGACAGCCUGAUCAGAACCAGAAAUAAAGACAGAUA
rnacentral:lncRNA from 1 species